CCUCUGCUUGCAGGGGUGCUCGAGUGGCGAACGGGUGAGUAACACGUGGGUGAUCUGCCUUGUACUCUGGGAUAAGCUUGGGAAACUGGGUCUAAUACCGGAUAGGAACUGCCUUUAGUGUGGUGGUUGGAAAGUUUUUUCGGUGCAAGAUGAGCUCGCGGCCUAUCAGCUUGUUGGUGGGGUAAUGGCCUACCAAGGCGUCGACGGGUAGCCGGCCUGAGAGGGUGUACGGCCACAUUGGGACUGAGAUACGGCCCAGACUCCUACGGGAGGCAGCAGUGGGGAAUAUUGCACAAUGGGCGGAAGCCUGAUGCAGCGACGCCGCGUGGGGGAUGACGGCCUUCGGGUUGUAAACUCCUUUCGACAGGGACGAAGCGCAAGUGACGGUACCUGUAUAAGAAGCACCGGCUAACUACGUGCCAGCAGCCGCGGUAAUACGUAGGGUGCGAGCGUUGUCCGGAAUUACUGGGCGUAAAGAGCUCGUAGGUGGUUUGUCGCGUCGUCUGUGAAAUUCCGGGGCUUAACUCCGGGCGUGCAGGCGAUACGGGCAUAACUUGAGUGCUGUAGGGGAGACUGGAAUUCCUGGUGUAGCGGUGAAAUGCGCAGAUAUCAGGAGGAACACCGAUGGCGAAGGCAGGUCUCUGGGCAGUUACUGACGCUGAGGAGCGAAAGCAUGGGUAGCGAACAGGAUUAGAUACCCUGGUAGUCCAUGCCGUAAACGGUGGGCGCUAGGUGUAGGGGGCUUCCACGUCUUCUGUGCCGUAGCUAACGCAUUAAGCGCCCCGCCUGGGGAGUACGGCCGCAAGGCUAAAACUCAAAGGAAUUGACGGGGGCCCGCACAAGCGGCGGAGCAUGUGGAUUAAUUCGAUGCAACGCGAAGAACCUUACCUGGGCUUGACAUACGCCAGAUCGCUGCAGAGAUGUAGUUUCCCUUGUGGUUGGUGUACAGGUGGUGCAUGGUUGUCGUCAGCUCGUGUCGUGAGAUGUUGGGUUAAGUCCCGCAACGAGCGCAACCCUUGUCUUAUGUUGCCAGCAUUUUGGUUGGGGACUCAUGAGAGACUGCCGGGGUUAAC
rnacentral:rRNA from 1 species